rnacentral:lncRNA from 1 species
CCGGGGACAGUCGAUUUAGGGCUUUCUUCUAGCUGGCCUUCCUAGCCACGACGACCCACAUGCAAAUGACCCCCCACACGCCAUUGCCGUGUACUUCCAUCCACAGCUUCAACGGCUGUAGUGACUCCCAAGCCUACAUGAACGCGGCCAGGGGGGGGGUACUGUGAUGGUGAUGGCGACGACCGAGGCAGCAUGCAUGAGCUCCGCCUCUCGCGCUCCGCGCCAUCAGGGCGCAUGUCAUGGGCCUCAUGUGGAAGCCUCAUGGGCCGGUACAUGUACUACUGGGAGUGCGUACUGUACCCCUGGUAUCCCUGCCCCUGGCGCACUCACAACACCCCCAAACCAACGUGCGCAACCGAAUGACCCGAAAUGUCAUCAUGCGCGUCGGUGUACAUUGCCAGGGCACUCGCACCCAUGAGCCAGAGCCCUCCUAUGGGUGUGCCCGAUAAGCUUGAACUUCU